rnacentral:rRNA from 1 species
GAUGAACGCUGGCGGCGUGCCUAAUACAUGCAAGUCGAGCGAAUGGAUUAAGAGCUUGCUCUUAUGAAGUUAGCGGCGGACGGGUGAGUAACACGUGGGUAACCUGCCCAUAAGACUGGGAUAACUCCGGGAAACCGGGGCUAAUACCGGAUAACAUUUUGAACCGCAUGGUUCGAAAUUGAAAGGCGGCUUCGGCUGUCACUUAUGGAUGGACCCGCGUCGCAUUAGCUAGUUGGUGAGGUAACGGCUCACCAGGGCAACGAUGCGUAGCCGACCUUGGGGGGUGAUCAGCCACACUGGGGCUGGUACACGUCCCAGACUCCUACGUGAGGCAGCAGUAGGGAAUCUUCCGCAAUGGACGAAAGUCUGACGGAGCAACGCCGCGUGAGUGAUGAAGGCUUUCGGGUCGUAAAACUCCGUUGUUAGGGAAGAACAAGUGCUAGUUGAAUAAGCUGGCACUUUGACGGUACCUAACCAGAAAGCCACGGCUAACUACGUGCCAGCCGCCGCGGUAA